CCUGGGCUGUCAAGGAGUGCACACAGAGCUGAACUGGUUAUUAGUCAAGCAUCCACAAAUGGCUGUAAAGAGUGGUUGUUAAGAACCUUUGAUUUGUGACACUGAAACUUUGAACACACAGAAUCAGGAUGACUCCAGAGUCAGCUAUGGCAAGGGCAGGUGAGUGGGAAUCAGCGACUCCCCCAGCCAAGGAACAGAGCUUACCCAGGAUCUGCAGCAGGAGAAGGAUGGAGAGAGCAGAGCUGCAGCCUGUAACCCACAGAACCAUCCCCAGUGGCCUCUCCAAGGGGAGCAGGCAGAAUCUCUCCCCACCAAGGUCACAUCACUUAAGGAGGAGUGAGAGCCUCUGCCACGCAAAGGAGUGA
rnacentral:lncRNA from 1 species